UCGAGAAUUUUUCACAAUGGGCGCAAGCCUGAUGGAGCGACGCCGCGUGGGGGAUGAAUGGCUUCGGCCCGUAAACCCCUGUCAUUCGCGAUCAAACGUUGUUAUUUAAAAGAUGACGACCUGAUAGUAGCGGAAGAGGAAGGGACGGCUAACUCUGUGCCAGCAGCCGCGGUAAUACAGAGGUCCCAAGCGUUGUUCGGAUUCACUGGGCGUAAAGGGUGCGUAGGUGGUCGGGUAAGUCGGAUGUGAAAGCUCGGAGCUCAACUCCGAAAUGGCAUUGGAAACUACCUGGCUCGAGGGUUGGAGGGGGGACUGGAAUUCUCGGUGUAGCAGUGAAAUGCGUAGAUAUCGAGAGGAACACCAGUGGCGAAGGCGAGUCCCUGGACAACUCCUGACACUGAGGCACGAAAGCUAGGGGAGCAAACAGGAUUAGAUACCCGUGUAGUCC
rnacentral:rRNA from 1 species